rnacentral:rRNA from 1 species
UACAGAGGUCCCAAGCGUUGUUCGGAUUCACUGGGCGUAAAGGGUGCGUAGGCGGUCGGGUAAGUCUGAUGUGAAAUCUCACAGCUUAACUGUGAAACUGCAUCGGAUACUAUCCGGCUCGAGGAAUGGAGGGGAGACUGGAAUACUUGGUGUAGCAGUGAAAUGCGUAGAUAUCAAGUGGAACACCAGUGGCGAAGGCGAGUCUCUGGACAUUUCCUGACGCUGAGGCACGAAAGCCAGGGGAGCAAACGGG